rnacentral:rRNA from 1 species
UAAUUUUCCUUCCAGCGGGGACAACGUUCCGAAAGGGACGCUAAUACCGCGUACGUUUCUCGGGACUCUGGUCCUGAGAAGGAAAGCUAGGUAGCAAUAUCCGGCACUGGAUGAGAAGCCUGCGUAGCAUCAGCUAGUUGGUGGGGUAACGGCCUACCAAGGCGAAGACGCUUAGCUGGUCUGAGAGGAUGAUCAGCCACACUGAAACUGAGACACGGUUCAG